rnacentral:rRNA from 1 species
AUGGUGUUCAAUUCUGAACAAGAGGCUUAUCAGUUUUACAACGCAUAUUCAUGGGAGAUUGGAUUCGGCAUCAGGCGGGGAAACAAAUACGUCAAUGAUCAGAAUUGCAAAUCAAAGCAAGACAUUCUCUGUUUCUGCAAGGGCAAGGAAACCAAUGUGUUACCUCCUGAACCUAAGAGAUCUAAGGGGAGGCCAAAAACAAAACGAUUGAGAUCUGCUAUAGAGAUAGCUGUUGAGAAGAAUAAAAGGAAGUGCUCUAUAUGUGGGUCUGACACCCAUGCCACUAAAUCAUGCCCGUGUAUUGGAAGUUGGAGCAGCUGA